UAAUUGUGUGCCAGCCGCCGCGGUAAUACGGAAGGUCCGGGCGUUAUCCGGAUUUAUUGGGUUUAAAGGGAGCGCAGGCUGAUGAUUAAGCGUGACGUGAAAUGUAGCCGCUCAACGGCUGAACUGCGUCGCGAACUGGUUAUCUUGAGUGAGUUCGAUGUUGGCGGAAUUCGUGGUGUAGCGGUGAAAUGCUUAGAUAUCACGAAGAACUCCGAUUGCGAAGGCAGCCAACAAGGCCUUUACUGACGCUAAAGCUCGAAGGUGCGGGUAUCGAACAGGAUUAGA
rnacentral:rRNA from 1 species